AAAAAAAAGCGUAAAAUAUUUAUUUCUUGGCAGAAGUACAUCAGACCACAUCUCCCAUCCUUCUUUUAAUUGCUUGGUGUUUGUUUGUGUUGUCUCAGGCUUUGCUGGUUUCCUCUGCAGGGCUGUGUGCUGCUCACAGCCCGUCACCUCACACAACCUCUCCCAGCCAGGGCAGCCCCAGCUCCUCAGGAGAGCCCCUGGCUGCAGGAGGGCAGCAGAGGCACAGGGGGUGCUGGGUUCAAGGCAGCACAGUGCAGCCUGGGUCGUUUUCAGUUUUUAGCCUUGUGGAGGGAGCUCUUCCCUUGGCAGAAUCCAAGCCAGCAAACCUAGGGCAGCAUCCUGAGUCACAGCCUGAGGCAGGGUGGAUGGGUCACACAGAGCAGCGUGGAGGGGGCUGGUGGGAAGGAAAGAGGUGCUGACGUGGGUGGGAGGUGGCACUGGCUGGUUGGCAGUGUCCUGUGGGCUUUGCUCAGGGUUUGGAGCUGCCCUGUGUGGGAUGGACACCCUGAGCUCCUGCUCCCAGCCAGGCAGGUACAGCCAGGUUCCAUCAUCAGCCAGGUUCCAUCAGCCAGGCACUGCCAGGUUCAUGAGCCAGGCAGGUACAGCCAGGUUCCAUCAGCCAGGUUCAUUAGCCAGGCAUUGCCAGGUUCCAUCAUCAGCCAGGUUCCAUCAGCCAGGCACUGCCAGGUUCCAUCAGCCAGGCACUGCCAGGUUCCAUCAACCAGGUUCCAUCAGCCAGGUUCAUUAGACAGGCACUGCCAGGUUCCAUCAUCAGCCAGGCACUGUGAGAUUCCAUCAACCAGGUUCCAUGAGCCAGGCACUGCCAGGUUCCAUCAGCCAGGCACUGCCAGGUUCCAUCAACCAGGUUCCAUCAGCCAGGUUCAUUAGACAGGCACUGCCAGGUUCCAUCAUCAGCCAGGCACUGUGAGAUUCCAUCAACCAGGUUCCAUGAGCCAGGCACUGCCAGGUUCCAUCAGCCAGGCACUGCCAGGUUCCAUCAUCAGCCAGGCACUGCCAGGUUCAUUAGCCAGGUUCCAUUAGC